rnacentral:tRNA from 4 species
UGGUCUAUGGUGUAACGGUAACACUACUGAUUUUGGUUCAGUCAUUCAAGGUUCGAAUCCUUGUAGACCAACAA